GGUGGUUGUUGAAAACUUGGAAGAUGUUGUGGUCUUUGAUUUCCUUGACCGCCCCACAAGAAAUUGGGAUGGUUUCUCUAACCUGCAUUAUAAGUGUUACUAUAUGGGUUAUUUUGGGAUCUAGAGUUAUUGAUACCCAUAUAUUGGACUUGUUCCUCCUCGAUGCUAGGGUUGAGGGGUUAAUACUCUGUGCAUGCUUCUCCUCCACUCG
rnacentral:lncRNA from 1 species